GGCGGCGUGCCUAACACAUGCAAGUCGUACGAGAAAGUUGGCUUCGGCCGAUGAGUAAAGUGGCGCACGGGUGAGUAAUGCGUGGAUAAUCUGCCCUUUAGUUGGGAAUAACGUACCGAAAGGUGCGCUAAUACCUGAUAAUACUGCAUAACUACUGUUGUGUAGUCAAAGAAGGCCUCUGUUUACAAGCUUUUGCUGAAGGAUGAGUCCGCGUACCAUUAGCUGGUUGGUGGGGUAAUGGCCUACCAAGGCUACGAUGGUUAGCUGGUCUGAGAGGAUGAUCAGCCACACUGGAACUGAGACACGGUCCAGACUCCUACGGGAGGCAGCAGUGAGGAAUAUUGCGCAAUGGGGGCAACCCUGACGCAGCAACGCCGCGUGAGUGAGGAAGGUUUUCGGACCGUAAAGCUCUGUCGAGCGGGAAGAAAUGUAUCAUGGCUAAUAUCCAUGAUACUUGACGGUACCGCUAAAGGAAGCACCGGCUAACCUCCGUG
rnacentral:rRNA from 1 species